rnacentral:rRNA from 1 species
CAGCCGCCGCGGUAAUACGUAGGUGGCAAGCGUUGUCCGGAAUUAUUGGGCGUAAAGGGCUCGCAGGCGGUUUCUUAAGUCUGAUGUGAAAGCCCCCGGCUCAACCGGGGAGGGUCAUUGGAUACUGGGAAACUUGAGUGCAAAAGAGGAGAGUGGAAUUCCACGUGUAGCGGUGAAAUGCGUAGAGAUGUGGAGGAACACCAGUGGCGAAGGCGACUCUCUGGUCUGUAACUGACGCUGAGGAGCGAAAGCGUGGGGAGCGAACAGGAUUAGAUACCCCGGUAGUCCCUGUCUCUUAUAC